CAUUUGGCAUUAUUACGUACAUAAGCUCUUUUCUAGAAACUUCGAUGAUGUAACGUCACGAAGUGGUGAUGACGCAAUAGAAGAACCUGCUUCAACCUGGUAUGUGACGUCACAGAAGAUCAAACCGACCUUGAUACGAAAGAAGAAUGAAGAAAAGUCAGCGAAUAAAGCUGCCGAAGGAAAACGCAAGACGAAGAACAAAGACGAAGACGCCGAUAAAGGGUACACG